rnacentral:sRNA from 1 species
GCCAGGUUUGGUGGCGCACACCUGUAACCUCAGCUACUCGGAGGCUCAGGCGGGAGGAUGGUAAGUUCGAGGCCAGCUUGGGCAACUUAACGAGACCCUGUCUCAA